rnacentral:rRNA from 1 species
UGGGGAAUAUUGGACAAUGGGCGCAAGCCUGAUCCAGCAAUGCCGCGUGAGUGAUGAAGGCCCUAGGGUUGUAAAGCUCUUUUACCCGGGAAGAUAAUGACUGUACCGGGAGAAUAAGCCCCGGCUAACUCCGUGCCAGCAGCCGCGGUAAUACGGAGGGGGCUAGCGUUGUUCGGAAUUACUGGGCGUAAAGCGCACGUAGGCGGCUUUGUAAGUUAGAGGUGAAAGCCCGGUGCUCAACCCCGGAACUGCCUUUAAGACUGCAUCGCUUGAAUCCAGGAGAGGUGAGUGGAAUUCCGAGUGUAGAGGUGAAAUUCGUAGAUAUUCGGAAGAACACCAGUGGCGAAGGCGGCUCACUGGCCUGGUAUUGACGCUGAGGUGCGAAAGCGUGGGGAGCAAACA